rnacentral:lncRNA from 1 species
CCUACUUAUCUUAGUGAUGUGAGGAGAUGAGACAUGAUUUUAAGCAAAAUUAUCAUAAGGAUGAUUUAAGAACUAUUUGCUUAAAAUCAGAAUGUCGAUUAAACAAUUACAUAAGGUCAUCAGGGCGAAAAAUGUUCACAUAGUCUACUUUAUGAGCAAGAUGUGAGAUAAUGUAGAUCAAAGAACUCAAAUUUAGAUACUUAUGGUGUCUAAAUAUCAUCUCUACAAUAUUCUUUAUGAGAUAAAGACAUAUGCUUCUUGGGAAAAGGGAGAAAAUGUUGUAGCACAUAUUUCAUACCAUGUGUGAGACCCAGAGCUUUAUGAUAGCUCAAGAUUUUGUACCCUUAGAGACUCUGAUCAGAUACUUGAGACUUAGCAUGAUGUUAGCUAUCUUGGUGUGUUUCCAAAAGACCAUGAAUACAGAUACGGUCUAGCAGAGCAUAACUAGGAAAGUAGUCACACUAAUAUUAAGGGAAUAGUGAGAAUAGGAAGACCAUUGAUGGAAUCUCAUUUAUUUGUAUUUAUUGGUGCACCAAUUAUGACAUGAGUUAUGAUUGGGAAUACAAGAAAUAAUGAUAUAUGAGAUUUUGAGACUAUAUUAGUUCUCACAGUAUGCUGGUCACACGGUCUACUUCCCUGUAUAAAUGAUUAAGGAGAUGGGUUGAGAAUAUGCUUCUCAGGCUAGAUCAGCAGUCCCAUUAUGUGUGAGUGGGAGAUGUAGGAAAUAUUGGUUCCACGCAUAAGGGGUGCUCUUAGGCCCAAUAGGGUUAUUAGUUAACCCUAAUAUUUCCUAUAUAAGUACACUUAGUGUGGACAUUAAAAAUAGACUUUCUAUAGUAUUUUUCUCUAUGCUCUUUCUCUCGCUGAAUCAAACUAGGGUUUAGACAGUGGAAUUGGGAGUUGCUCCAAUACACCGUGACAACCACCGCCGACCUGUAAUUCCAGCCACAGUUUAUCCGUUUUUCCUUUCGCGAACCAGUAAGUUCUUGUUUUACAGUUUACGCGCUAUCUAAUGUGUUUAGAUUAACGUGUUAUUUUAAAAACACAUGAUACUUAAACUCAAUUAAAUAUUAACAGUAAUAAAAUACAGGGAAUUAGUAUACCGUCCACUUAAAUCCCAAAAUUAUACAAGACUCUCAGUAGCAUAAAUUCAGCUGGCUUUUAACAUUACACAAACUGUAGGACAAUCAAAUUCAACUCAAAUUCUGGCUAACUCAAUAGACAAUUUAUAUGAUAUUUCAACCUUAUAUGAGCCUAUUUCAAUGCAUAUAAUAACAAAUAAAACUUUAUGAGACUAUAAAGUAAACGAUUCUGAAUUUAAACAACAAUUUCGACUUAAACAUGCUUAUACACAAAUCAGGGGUAAUUCAGUGUAUGGCUCGACCCUUAAAGUAAUAACCUAAAGCAAUUCCUUUGUCUAAAAUGACUGCAUACUGACUAUCAGCUUGGAAAACAAAUCAACUGCCCAUUUCACUUAAAUAAAGUACUACAUGACUUUAAAUAGCACACUAUACUUACUGGUAUGUUUUCCAAUUGAAAGUUUCUAGUCUCCAGCCUAUACUUGUCAUUUUUAGCAAGUUCAUGCAGAAAUCAACACCAAAACAAAUAUUGUUUUCAGCAAAACUAAAACAGGUCAAAAACACAGGUAAAUCGCUUGAACCUUCUGCUGCAGUAAUCUUAAAAGUCCAUUCAUACAAAUACAUGUUCAACUCAUUUAAAUUAAGCGACUAAAGCUAAUGAUUUGUCCAUUAUUACAAAUAGAGCUUAAAACUAGAAUAGAAAAGAACAAACAUAAUGAAAAAAAUUAAGCUAAUUAGAGAGCCUAAUGAUUUCAGGAAUGUAGAAAAUAACAUUUAACAGACUGGUAUGCCAUGGGUUUUUAGCUUAAUCAAAUACUUCAUGCUCUUCCAUUCACAUGUCAAGAAAGUGUAAUGAAUACCUGGAAGUUCAUAUAGAAACAAGGAGAAAGAAGAGUUAGCAAAAGCAACAGAAUCAGCUCAACCAAACCAGCCAAAUCCCAACUUCUUUCAAACCAAGUUAAACCCAAAUGAACACACUUCUUGGAGCCUAUUUUUUUUAGAAAAACUUCUGAUCACUAAUGAAGACAAGGAACAAAACAAGCAGAUUUUUGCUAUUCAAAUGCAAAUAGCUUUCAGUAGCUUCAGGGUAUAAAGAACUUCAGUAGUUUAUGAACACCCCCCCACCCCCCCCUUUUUAGUCUCUCCUUGUGUAUUUCUUUAGCCGUUUCUAAAAUUUUUUUGGUUCUGAUCUCUAUUUAAAUUCUCUCUAUGGUCUGAUCUAUAUAGGACGUCCUUAAGGCAGCAGAAAUGAAUUUUCUAUUCACAAAAGCCUCUUCCCCAAUUUUUAAUUAAUUCCACUCAAAUUCUUCUCUUUACAUUAUUCAGUAGUGCACUCCGAACCCCACCACUGUAGAAACUUCCUACUUAGUUAGGCAAGUCUCCACUUACUCAAUCUCGCUAAGCUAACAUUUGAAGAUUUAAUAAUUACCAAGAUAGGCCUUUAAGCCAAUAUGCUUUCUACCUCUUGGGUUUCUGCAUUAGCAGACUCUAACACCUUUGGGCUUCUUGCACUAGCAAGCCCAGACUACCAACGACUCACAAGGGGUUCCGAAUCCGUUCUUUCAUUUUAGAGACAAACAAGUGAAAAGGCACAAAGCAAAAGCGAAUGAAAUUAAUUAUAUGCUAACUAAAAUUAUUCAAUUAAUCAAUCUCUAAAUUAAAAGGCCUAUCAUGCAACAAAUACGGAUUUGGACAAGAAAAUAAGAGAGAAAGAGGAAUACCAGGAGAUGAUGAAGAUAGAACAUGCAAAACAAAAAAGAAUAAUGAAAAUGGAACUACUAACCACAGCAGAUGAAUAAAAGUGAAUCGAUUGGCUAACUUAACCUACUUCGUUAAGGGUAACUCACCCUAAUGAACUCCCUUAUACAAGGGUGCUCUGUCAGGGCGAGCUUCGACCCCUAACGAGCAAAACGCACUUCAACUCGGCUCCAAUUUUGAAAUAUGGAUUGAGCCCUAGGUUCCAAAUUCGGUAAACCCUAGGGUUCAUUUGGGCAAAUUGUUCGGAGUUUUGAGUUUGGGAGACAUAGUGACUGUAGGGUAAAGAGAUCAACGGCUUAGACCUUUCAUUUUAUGGAAUGACGCCGUU